rnacentral:rRNA from 1 species
UACGUAGGGGGCAAGCGUUGUCCGGAUUUAUUGGGCGUAAAGAGCGUGUAGGCGGCUAGGUAGGUCCGUUGUGAAAACUCGAGGCUCAACCUCGAGACGCCGAUGGAAACCAUCUGGCUAGAGUCCGGAAGAGGAGAGUGGAACUGCGAGUGUAGAGGUGAAAUUCGUAGAUAUUCGCAAGAACACCAGUGGCGAAGGCGGCUCACUGGCCCGGUACUGACGCUGAGGUGCGAAAGCGUGGGGAGCAAACAGG